rnacentral:piRNA from 1 species
UGAGAACGUGUCUAGUAACAGACCUGAGAG